rnacentral:rRNA from 1 species
GACGAACGCUGGCGGCGUGCCUAACACAUGCAAGUCGAACGGGACUGGGGGCAACUCCAGUUCAGUGGCGAACGGGUGCGUAACACGUGAGGAAUUUGUCUUUCGGUGGGGGAUAGCCGGCCCAACGGCCGGGUAAUACCGCGUACGCUCUUCGGGGGGCAUCCUCUGGAGAGGAAAGCAGCAAUGCGCCGAAAGAGAACCUCGCGGCCUAUCAGCUAGUUGGUGGGGUCAUGGCCCACCAAGGCGACGACGGGUAGCUGGUCUGAGAGGAUGGCCAGCCACAUUGGGACUGAAACACGGCCCAGACUCCUACGGGAGGCAGAAGUGGGGAAUCUUGCGCAAUGGGCGAAAGCCUGACGCAGCGACGCCGCGUGUGGGAUGACGGCCUUCGGGUUGUAAACCACUGUCGGGAGGGACAAAGCUCUGACGGUACCUCCAAAGGAAGCACCGGCUAACUCUGUGCCAGCCGCCGCAGUAAGAC